rnacentral:rRNA from 1 species
GGUGAACGCUGGCGGCGUGCCUAAUACAUGCAAGUCGAGCGAACGGACGAGAAGCUUGCUUCUCUGAUGUUAGCGGCGGACGGGUGAGUAACACGUGGAUAACCUACCUAUAAGACUGGGAUAACUUCGGGAAACCGGAGCUAAUACCGGAUGAUAUUUUGAACCGCAUGGUUCAAAAGUGAAAGACGGUCUUGCUGUCACUUAUAGAUGGAUCCGCGCUGCAUUAGCUAGUUGGUAAGGUAACGGCUUACCAAGGCAACGAUGCAUAGUCGACCUGAGAGGGUGAUCGGCCACACUGGAACUGAGACACGGUCCAGACUCCUACGGGAGGCAGCAGUAGGGAAUCUUCCGCAAUGGGCGAAAGCCUGACGGAGCAACGCCGCGUGAGUGAUGAAGGUCUUCGGAUCGUAAAACUCUGUUAUUAGGGAAGAACAUAUGUGUAAGUAACUGUGCACAUCUUGACGGUACCUAAUCAGAAAGCCACGGCUAACUACGUG